rnacentral:rRNA from 1 species
CCCUUAGAGUUUGAUCCUUGGCUCAGGAUGAACGCUGGCGGCGUGCCUAACACAUGCAAGUCGAGCGAUUCUCUUCGGAGAAGAGCGGCGGACGGGUGAGUAACGCGUGGGUAACCUGCCCUGUACACACGGAUAACAUACCGAAAGGUAUGCUAAUACGGGAUAACAUAAGAAAUUCGCAUGUUUUUCUUAUCAAAGCUACGGCGGUACAGGAUGGACCCGCGUCUGAUUAGCUAGUUGGUGAGGUAAUGGCUCACCAAGGCGACGAUCAGUAGCCGACCUGAGAGGGUGAUCGGCCACAUUGGAACUGAGACACGGUCCAAACUCCUACGGGAGGCAGCAGUGGGGAAUAUUGCACAAUGGGCGAAAGCCUGAUGCAGCAACGCCGCGUGAGCGAUGAAGGCCUUCGGGUCGUAAAGCUCUGUCCUCAAGGAAGAUAAUGACGGUACUUGAGGAGGAAGCCCCGGCUAACUACGUGCCAGCAGCCGCGGUAAUACGUAGGGGGCUAGCGUUAUCCGGAUUUACUGGGCGUAAAGGGUGCGUAGGCGGUCUUUUAAGUCAGGAGUGAAAGGCUACGGCUCAACCGUAGUAAGCUCUCGAAACUGGAGGACUUGAGUGCAGGAGAGGAGAGUGGAAUUCCUAGUGUAGCGGUGAAAUGCGUAGAUAUUAGGAGGAACACCAGUAGCGAAGGCGGCUCUCUGGACUGUAACUGACGCUGAGGCACGAAAGCGUGGGGAGCAAACAGGAUUAGAUACCCUGGUAGUCCACGCCGUAAACGAUGAGUACUAGCUGUCGGAGGUUACCCCCUUCGGUGGCGCAGCUAACGCAUUAAGUACUCCGCCUGGGGAGUACGCUCGCAAGAGUGAAACUCAAAGGAAUUGACGG